rnacentral:tRNA from 1 species
CCGUCGGUGGUUCAGUGGUAGAAUGCUCGCCUGCCACGCGGGUGGCCCGGGUCCGAUUCCCGGCCGACCCA